rnacentral:rRNA from 1 species
GAUGAACGCUAGCGGCAGGCCUAAUACAUGCAAGUCGAACGGGAUCCAGAUCAAAGCUUGCUUUGGUUUGGUGAGAGUGGCGUACGGGUGCGUAACGCGUGAGCAACCUACCCUUGUCAGGGGGAUAGCCCGGCGAAAGUCGGAUUAAUACCGCAUGACAUCAUUGAGAGGCAUCUUUCGAUGAUCAAAGAUUUAUCGGACAAGGAUGGGCUCGCGUGACAUUAGCUAGUUGGUAAGGUAACGGCUUACCAAGGCUACGAUGUCUAGGGGCUCUGAGAGGAGAAUCCCCCACACUGGUACUGAGACACGGACCAGACUCCUACGGGAGGCAGCAGUAAGGAAUAUUGAGCAAUGGACGGAAGUCUGAACCAGCCAUGCCGCGUGCAGGAAGACGGCCCUAUGGGUUGUAAACUGCUUUUAUACGGGAACAAACGUCGGUACGUGUACCGGUCUGAGUGUACCGUAAGAAUAAGGAUCGGCUAACUCCGUG